rnacentral:rRNA from 1 species
UACAGAGGGUGCAAGCGUUAAUCGGAAUUACUGGGCGUAAAGCGCGCGUAGGUGGUUCGUUAAGUUGGAUGUGAAAUCUCCGGGCUUAACUCGGAAAGGUCAACUGAUACUGUGCGACUAGAGUGCGGAAGGGGCAACUGGAAUUCUUGGUGUAGCGGUGAAAUGCGUAGAUAUCAAGAGGAACACCUGCGGCGAAGGCGGGUUGCUGGGCCGACACUGACGCUGAGGCGCGAAAGCCAGGGGAGCGAACGGG